rnacentral:misc_RNA from 1 species
AACGCAACUUGCGCCUAGUCUAGGCAUGUCUGUCUGAGUGCCGCAUAAAACCUGCAGCAAUGCGAGCUGGCCAGUGUCUAACUCUCUGUUGGACUCGGCCUAAACGUAGCCAGUCAGUAGCCAGUGCUGCUAGUCCGAGUGCUAAGCAUUCUUGGGUCUAGUAGGGCUGGCUGCCGCUUGGACCGGUGAGUGGGCUGGCCAGCAGGCCAUCCUCUCUACCACCAAGCCCCAUCCUUUUGGCCUCAGGCUGGCAAGAUCACCCGCUGAACUUAA